CGAUAGCUCAGUGGAUAGAGCGUCCGCCUCCGGAGCGGAAGGUCGCAGGUUCGAAUCCUGUUCGGG
rnacentral:tRNA from 1 species